rnacentral:rRNA from 1 species
GGAAUGAAACUCAAAGGAAUUGACCGGGGACCCGCACAAGCGGUGGAGCAUGUGGUUUAAUUCGAAGCAACGCGAAGAACUUUACCCGGCCUUGACAUCCCUCCGGCGCGCCCGCAACGGGGCGUUCCCCUCGGGGCGGAGGAGACAGGUGGUGCAUGGUUGUCGUCAGCUCGUGUCGUGAGAUGUUGGGUUAAGUCCCGCAACGAGCGCAACCCCCAUUCCCAGUAGCCAGCGAGAGAGACGGGCACUCUGGGGAGACUGCCGGGGACAACCCGGAGGAAGGCGGGGACGACGUCAAAUCAUCAUGCCCCUUAUGGCCGGGGCUACACACGUGCUACAAUGGCGCGGACAAAGGGAAGCGAAGCGGCGACGCGGAGCGAAUCCCAGAAAAAGCGCCCCAGUUCGGAUUGCAGCCUGCAACUCGGCUGCAUGAAGCCGGAAUCGCUAGUAAUCGCGGAUCAGAACGCCGCGGUGAAUACGUUCCCGGGUCUUGUACACACCGCCCGUCACACCAUGGGAGCAGGUAACGCCCGAAGUCGGCGACCCAACCGGAAGGAGGGAGCCGCCGAAGGCGGGACCCGUGACUGGGGUGAAGUCGUAACAAGGUAACCGU